rnacentral:rRNA from 1 species
CUACUGGGGUUUCUAAUCCUGUUUGCUCCCCACGCUUUCGUGCCUCAGUGUCAGUGCUGGUCCAGAUGGCCGCCUUCGCCACGGAUGUUCCUCCCGAUCUCUACGCAUUUCACUGCUACACCGGGAAUUCCGCCAUCCUCUACCGCACUCCAGUGAUCCAGUUUCCAAUGCCAUUCCCAGGUUGAGCCCAGGGCUUUCACAUCAGACUUAAACCACCACCUACGCACGCUUUACGCCCAGUAAUUCCGAGUAACGCUUGCACCCUUCGUAUUACCGCGGCUGCUGGCAC